UACAGAGGGUGCGAGCGUUAAUCGGAAUUACUGGGCGUAAAGGGCGCGUAGGCGGCCGAUCAAGUCAGGCGUGAAAUUCCCGGGCUCAACCUGGGGGCUGCGCUUGAUACUGAUUGGCUUGAAUGCGGGAGAGGAUAGUGGAAUUCCCAGUGUAGAGGUGAAAUUCGUAGAUAUUGGGAAGAACACCGGUGGCGAAGGCGGCUAUCUGGCCCGUAAUUGACGCUGAGGCGCGAAAGCGUGGGGAGCAAACAGG
rnacentral:rRNA from 1 species